rnacentral:rRNA from 1 species
UUCCGUAGGGUGACCUGCGGAAGGAUCAUUAAAGAUUCGGGCUUCGCGCCCUACCUCUCCUCAGCUGUGCGCUCCGGCUGCACGCUGUCGAACAACUCACACCUGUGCACCUUAUCGGUUGCGGCGUCCGCGUCGCUUCCGCUUUACAACAUACAACAUCAGUCCAGAAUGUACAAACCAUAAACAGUAACAACUUUCAACAACGGAUCUCUUGGCUCUCGCAUCGAUGAAGAACGCAGCGAAAUGCGAUAAGUAAUGUGAAUUGCAGAAUUCAGUGAAUCAUCGAAUCUUUGAACGCAUCUUGCGCUCCAUGGUAUUCCGUGGAGCAUGCCUGUUUGAGUGUCACGUCAACCCUCACCCCUUGCGAUGUCAAAGUCGCUCGAGGUGGAUUUGGACUGUGCCGCGUCUUGCGGCUCGUCUUGAAAUGCAUUAGCUUGCGCUUUUAGAGUGCUGGGCACCGGUGUGAUAAUUAUCUGCGCCAACGCCUUAGGCCUCUUCAGCGGCGCUGCUUACAGUCGUCCCGACGGACAAUUAUUUUAACGCUUUGGCCUCAAAUCAGGUAGGACUACCCGCUGAACUUAAGCAUAUCAAAAGCCGGAGGAA